rnacentral:rRNA from 1 species
AUUGAACGCUGGCGGCAUGCUUUACACAUGCAAGUCAAACGGCAGCGCGGGCUUCGGCCUGGCGGCGAGUGGCGAACGGGUGAGUAAUGCAUCGGAACGUGCCCAGUAGUGGGGGAUAGCCCGGCGAAAGCCGGAUUAAUACCGCAUACGACCUGAGGGUGAAAGCGGGGGACCGAAAGGCCUCGCGCUAUUGGAGCGGCCGAUGUCGGAUUAGCUAGUUGGUGGGGUAAAGGCUUACCAAGGCGACGAUCCGUAGCUGGUCUGAGAGGACGACCAGCCACACUGGGACUGAGACACGGCCCAGACUCCUACGGGAGGCAGCAGUGGGGAAUUUUGGACAAUGGGGGCAACCCUGAUCCAGCCAUGCCGCGUGCGGGAAGAAGGCCUUCGGGCUGUAAACCGCUUUUGUUCGGGAAGAAAUCCUCUGGGCUAAUACCCCGGGGGGAUGACGGUACCGGAAGAAUAAGCACCGGCUAACUACGUG